rnacentral:RNase_P_RNA from 1 species
CCAGCUGGCCGGGCGGCCGCACCCGCGAAGCCGAAAGGCUGCGGGUGAGGAAAGUCCGGGCUCCAUGGAGACACGGUGCCGGUUAAUGNNNNNNNNNNGUGGUAAGGGUGAAAGGGUGGGGUAAGAGCCCACCGCGCGACUGGCAACAGGAGCGGCACGGUAAACCCCACCGGGAGCAAGACCGAAUAGGGGCGGUGUGAGGGGAAACCCUCGAGGGCUGUUUCCGGCUCACCGCCCGGGUAGGUUGCGUGAGGCGCAUGGCAACAUGCGCCCAAGAUGAAUGGCCGCCACGUUCUCGCGCCGCAAGGGGCGAGGGCCAUACAGAACCCGGCUUACAGGCCAGCUGGCAAU